rnacentral:sRNA from 1 species
AUUCUGCCCAAGCGGGGAAGGAUGAGAAGCUUCGACCAAGGUUCGACUUGAGCGCCAGCGAGAGAGCGUUGCCGCAGGCAACGACCCGAAGGGCGAAGCGCGCAGCGC